rnacentral:rRNA from 1 species
CCUACGGGAGGCAGCAGUGAGGAAUAUUGGGCAAUGGACGGAAGUCUGAACCAGCCAUGCCGCGUGCAGGAAGACGGCUCUAUGAGUGGUAAACUGCUUUUGUACAAGGGUAAACCUGAAUACGUGUAUUCAGCUGAAAGUACUGUACGAAUAAGGAACGGCUAACUCCGUACCAGCAGCCGCGGUAAUACGGAGGAUCCAAGCGUUAUCCGGAUUUAUUGGUGUUAAAGGGUGCGUAGGCGGAUUGAUAAGUUAGAGGUGAAAUGUCCGAGCUUAACUCGGGAACUGCAUAUAAUACUGUUGAUCUAGAGAGUAGAUGAGGAAGGUGGAAGGUAUGGUGUAGCGGUGAAAUGCUUAGAGAUCAUACAGAACACCGAUUGCGAAGGCAGCUUACUAAUCUAUAUCUGACGUUGAGGCACGAAAGCGUGGGGAGCAAACAGGAUUAGAUACCCUGGUAGUC